rnacentral:lncRNA from 1 species
CUCCCGAGCAGCUGGGAUUACAGGCACGCACCGCAAUGCCCAGAGUGAGAGUUUCGACCAGGAGUGGAUACUGAGGAGAGCAAAGAUCACCUGGUGCUCAUCAAGCCGGACUUCCAGAGGCAAAGCUCCUUAACUGAAGAAUUCAGAAAUGAUCCAGUGCAGGACCCUGAGAAGCCCACAGGAGAAGAAGAAUCCCUAAAGUGAGAGAAACCUGGGCCCUUGAGUGACUGCAUGGAGAAGAGCCCCAUCAUUGACUCAUGUUAGA